ensembl:lncRNA
UGCCCCAUAAGUGACCGCAGAAGGGAUCCCAUUGCUGACCCCAUACUGACCCCAUAAGUGACCCCAUAAGGGAUCCGAUUGCUGACCCCAUACUGACCCCAUAAGAGACCCCAUAAGGGUUCCCAUCGCUGACCCCAUAAGAGACCCCAUAAGGAGUCCCAUCGCUGACCCCAGAAGCGACCCCAUAAGGGAUCCAAUUGCUGACCCCCUAAGAGACCCUAUAAGUGACCCCAUAAGGGAUCCCAUCGCUGACCCCAUACUGACCUCAUAAGAGACCCCAUAAGGCAUCCCAUCGCUGACCCCAUAACUGAACACAGUGGUGCCCCCAUAACAGCCCAAUAGAGCUGCACAGUGACCCCAUAGAGCCCCACAGUGACCCCAUAGAGCCCCAUAGUGACCCCAUAACUGCCCCAUAGUGACCCCAUAGAGCUCCAUAGUGAACCCAUAACUGCCCCAUAGUGACCCCAUAGAGUCCCAUAGUGACCCCAUAACUGCCCCACAGUGACCCCAUAGAGCCCCGUAGUGACCCCAUAGAGCCCCAUAGGGACCCCAUAGAGCUCCAUAGAGACCCCAUAGAGCUCCAAGGUGACCCCAUAGAGCUCCAUAGGGACCCCAAAGAGCUCCAUAAUGACCCCAUAACUGCCCCAUAGCGAGCCCAUAGGGUUCCAUAGAGACCCCAUAACAGCCCCAUAGUGACCUCAUUGAGGCCCAUAGUGACCCCAUAGAGCCCCAUAGGGACCCCAGAGAGCUCUGUAAUGACCCCAUAGAGCUCCACAGUGACCCCAUAAAGCCCCACAGUGUCCCCAUAGAGCCGCAUAGGGACCCCAUAGAGCCCCAUAGGGACCCCAUAGAGCUCCAUCGUGACCCCAUAGAGCCCCACAGUGACCCCAUAGAGCCCCAUAGGGACUCCACAGAGCCCUAUAGGGACCCCAAAGAGCCCCAUAGGGACCCCAUAACAGCCCCAUAGCGACCCUAUAGAGCUCAAUAGGCACCCCAUAUACCUCCAUAGUGACCCCAUAGAGCUCCACGGUGACCCCAUAACAGCCCCAUAGUGACCCCAUAGAGCUCCACGGUGACCCCAUAGAACCCCACAGUGUCCCCAUAGAGCCCCAUAGGGACCCCAUAGAGCCCCAUAGUGACCCCAUAGAGCUCCAUAAUGACCCAAUCACAGCAGCAUAGUGACCCCAUAGAGCCCCAUAGUGACCCCAUAACAGCCCCAUAGCGACCCCAUAGAGCUCAAAAGGGACCCCAUAUACCUCCAUAGUAACCCCAUAGAGCUCCACGGUGACCCCAUAACAGCCCCAUAGUGACCCCAUAGAGCCCCAGAGUGACCCCAUAGAGCCCCACAGUGUCCCCAUAGAGCCCCAUAGGGACCCCAUAGAGCCCCACAGUGACGCCAUAGAGCCCCACAAUGACCCCAUAGAGCCCCAUAGGGACUCCAUAGAGCCACAUAGUGACCCCAUAGAACCCCAUAAUGACCCAAUAGAGCCACACAGUGACCCCAUAGAGCCCCAUAGUGACACCAGAACUGCCCCAUAGUGACCCCAUAGAGUUCCAUAGAGACCCCAUUACAGCCCCAUAGUGACCCCAUAGAGCCCCACAGUGUCCCCAUAGAGCCCCAUAGUGACCCCAUAGAGCCCCACAGUGACCCCAAUGAGCCCCAUAGUGACCCCAUAGAGCCACAUAGGGACUCCAUAGAGCCCUAUAGGGACCCCAAAGAGCCCCAUAGGGACCCCAGAGAGCUCCGUAAUGACCCCAUAGAGCCCCACAGUGACCCCAUAACUGCCCCAUAAUGACCCCAUUAGGGCCCAUAGGGACCCCAUAGAACCCCAUUGUGACCUCAUUGGGGCCCAU